rnacentral:rRNA from 1 species
UGGGGAAUCUUCCGCAAUGGACGAAAGUCUGACGGAGCAACGCCGCGUGUAUGAUGAAGGUCUUCGGAUUGUAAAGUACUGUCUUUGGGGAAGAAUGGAGUGUUUGAGAAUAUUGAGCACAAAUGACGGUACCCAAGGAGGAAGCCCCGGCUAACUACGUGCCAGCAGCCGCGGUAAUACGUAGGGGGCAAGCGUUGUCCGGAAUUAUUGGGCGUAAAGGGCGCGUAGGCGGAUAGUUAAGUCCGGUGUGAAAGAUCAGGGCUCAACCCUGAGAGUGCAUCGGAAACUGGUUAUCUUGAGGACAGGAGAGGAAAGUGGAAUUCCACGUGUAGCGGUGAAAUGCGUAGAUAUGUGGAGGAACACCAGUGGCGAAGGCGACUUUCUGGACUGUAACUGACGCUGAGGCGCGAAAGCGUGGGGAGCAAACAGG